AAAAAUUGUUAGUUAGAUGAAGAUGAUGCUAUGGAUAAGCACAAUAAUUUUGAGGUUGGUGAGGAAUAGGUAAAGAGAAAAUAGUGUAUUGUUUUGACUGAUCAGAGAUGCCAAUUCCAAUUUCCUAUGGCAAAAUUUUGAAAUUAUUUCAGUAUUUCCAUUGAAAAACAGUUUCGAGGAAGGUGAAUCCUUUUCUGUUUCCUAAGUCAUACCUCCCCUAGUCAGCAGGGGUUGCUACCGUGAUGGAGUCAUCCAAGACUCAGAGGAAUAAUAUAAAUCAAUUUAUUGAGAGCUUUCUUAAACAAAACUAAUACUCAGAGAUAAAAUUGGCUAAAUUGCUAAUUAAGAUUAAUAAGCAUUACAGAUACGACAAUUCUAGUCAACGGCUACCACAGAGAGUGAAAAAGAAGAUAAAGAGAAUGCAUAAGAAUGCAUUAUGUCUCUGGAAAACUGUGGAGAACAAUUGCCUUUCAAAUUAUAUUCACUGGAGUUUAUUCUUUUCUAAUUUUACUUCUUUUCAAUUGUACUUUCUGCAUUCAUUAUGAUCUGAGUGCAUGUGAAGCUAUGGACUGAAACCUGGACUUUUCUCUUUGAAGAUUAUUUGACCCAGUAUGAAGAAUGAGAAACCUGAAGCCUCCUGUUUUGCUGGAAAACUCCCUCUGAUGGCUCAGAUGGAAAAUUCACAUAAAGUUUCAGCAGAGGCAGAAGUAAACACUGAGACUGAAAAACAUUUUCUGUGGACUGUUUUAAAGACUCAGGAGAAUAAUGGAAUAAUUGUUGACUGAGAAACUCCCAUGUUGAUCUCUCCUGGAAACUUAGUACAGAUGAAUGGCUUCAAUCCCAUGCUGGAAACGAAUUGAGUUUGAAACAAACUUCAAAUAAAGGAAAUUACAAGUCUUAGAGCCA
rnacentral:lncRNA from 1 species